rnacentral:rRNA from 1 species
CCCGCGCUGGUAGACAGCGUGCACGGUCCGGUCUACAAUCCGGCCCAUCGCGUCUGGACGGGGCAGGACCAGGCGAACCUCUCCUCCAUCCACGGGUCGCUCUCGCCGGCAGUUGCCGGCCUUGUUGUCUUCGCGAAGACGUCUCAUGAGGCCUGGACCAUCCUUGAGCGCACCUUUGCAGCGCAGUCCCAGGCUCGUGUCUCUGCACUCCGUCGUCAGCUUGGAGAGUGUCAGAAGCUUGACUCCACUGCCACUGAGUUCUACAACAAGGUCAAGGGCCUCGCCGACACAUUGGCCUCCAUUGGACAACCCCUCACCGACUCCGAGUUCAACUCGUUUAUUGUCAAUGGUCUUGAUGAGGAGUAUGAUGCCUUAGUCGAGAUCAUCAACGAGCGGGGCAACUCGACACCCAUGCUGGCACACGAGGUUUUCUCUCGGCUCCUUCUCACUGAGCAACGGGUCGAGACUCGCCGCACCAGGGGCACUGGCUCCCUCUCGGCCAACGCCGCCACCAAGGGUGGCCGCUCUUCUUCAUCACCCCGGUCUCCCUUGGGGCUGCCACCGUCGCCCGCCUCGGCCCCCCCACCUACUGCGACCUUACCGGGGGCUGGCGGUCCACGUGUGUGUCAGCUUUGUGGCCGCGAUGGGCACUGGGCCUCCAAGUGUCAUAAGCGCUUCCAGCGAAGCUUCCUUGGUCUUGGCAAUGACGGCAAAGAUACACGCAACAAUGCCUGUCAGGUCGCCAUGGCUGAUCGUCCCGCGCCGCAGAAGCAACAGGGACACACUCAGUCCUACUCCAUCGAUCCACACUGGUACAUGGACUCUGGGGCGACAGAGCAUCUAACCAGCGAGAUGGGGAAGCUUCACACUCGUGAACCCUAUCAUGGCUCCGACAAGAUCCACACCGCCAAUGGAGCAGGUAUGCACAUCUCUCAUAUUGGUCAAGCAUCUCUUCUCACUAGACAUGCCAAUAGGAGUCUUCAGCUUCGCAAUGUUCUUCGAGUUCCAUCUGUGACCCGUAAUCUUCUUUCAGUUCCUAAACUCACACGUGAUAAUAAUGUGCUUUGUGAAUUUCACCCUUUUGAUCUUUUUAUUAAGGAUCGGGGCACGAGGGACAUUCUUCUUAGUGGGCGGUUGUGCCAGGGCCUCUACCGUCUGGAGCAUCCUGGUGUCGCUCGUGUUUUCAGUGGAGUUCAGGUCUCUCCGUCACAGUGGCAUGCUCGUCUUGGUCACCCGGCCACACCUAUUGUCCGUCAUAUUUUGCGUCGUCAUGAGCUUCCUAGUUUGUCUAGUCAUAAAGAUGUAGCAGUGUGUGAUGCUUGUCAGCAGGGGAAGAGUCAUCAACUUCCUUUUUCGGAGUCCAGUUGUGAGGUGAAACAUCCUUUAGAACUUGUGUUUUCAGAUGUAUGGGGUCCUGCUCAGACUUCUGUCAGUGGUCAUAAUUACUAUAUUAGUUUCGUUGAUGCUUAUAGUCGCUUUACCUGGCUUUACCUUAUUAAACGCAAAUCUGAUGUGUUUGAUAUUUUUGUUCAGUUUCAAAAACAUGUUGAACGUCUUCUCAAGCACAAAAUUGUUCAUGUCCAGUCAGACUGGGGGGGCGAGUAUCGCAACCUCAACUCUUUCUUUCAGUCGCUUGGGAUAGCUCAUCGUUUAGCAUGUCCACAUACACAUCAGCAGAAUGGUUCAGUCGAACGUAAGCAUCGUCAUAUUGUUGAAGCUGGUCUUACUCUUUUGGCCCAUGCAUCUGUUCCGUUUUGGUUUUGGAGUGAUGCUUUCACCACUGCAUGCUUUCUCAUCAACCGUACUCCUACUCGUGUUUUAAACAUGAAGACUCCCAUUGAGGUUCUCCUUAAUGAACAACCUGAUUAUACCUUUCUCAAG